GCGCCCGUAGCUCAACGGACAGAGCACCGGCCUUCUAAGCCGGGGGUUGUGGGUUCGAUUCCCGCCGGGCGCG
rnacentral:tRNA from 1 species